GGGUGCUCUGGAUCUUUCUGUCCGGAGCCUUGGCAAAGGAGAGAAAGAGAAAGGCCCCGAGUCGAUAUUAUCAACCCGAGGCCACUCUGAUGCCAAGCAACAUCAGGCUAGCCUCUUACCCGCCGCAAGGCAAGGAUAGGGAGGUCAAAAAUG
rfam:Serratia marcescens subsp. marcescens Db11, complete genome